UACGUAGGGGGCAAGCGUUGUCCGGAUUUAUUGGGCGUAAAGAGCGUGUAGGCGGCCUGACAGGUCUGCUGUGAAAACUCGAGGCUCAACCUCGAGAUGUCGGCGGAAACCAUUUGGCUAGAGUCCGGAAGAGGAGAGUGGAAUUCCUGGUGUAGCGGUGAAAUGCGCAGAUAUCAGGAAGAACACCAAUGGCGAAAGCAGCUCUCUGGGACGGUACUGACGCUGAGACGCGAAAGCGUGGGGAGCGAACAGG
rnacentral:rRNA from 1 species